rnacentral:rRNA from 1 species
UUAAACGGCCGCGGUAUUUUAACCGUGCAAAGGUAGCGUAAUCACUUGUCCUUUAAAUAAGGACCUGUAUGAAUGGUUAAACGAGGGCUUAACUGUCUCCCCUAUCCAGUCAGUGAAAUUGAUCUAUCCGUGCAGAAGCGGGUAUAAUAAUACAAGACGAGAAGACCCUUUGGAGCUUAAGGUACAAGACCCACCCAUGUAAAACACAUUAAAAUUAUUAACAUAAUGGAAAGUGGAGCUAUACCUUCGGUUGGGGCGACCACGGAGAAAAAACCAGCCUCCAAGUGGAAUGGAUAACAUCCAAAACUAAGAGAUACGCCUCUAAGUAACAAAACAUUUGACCAAACAUGACCCGGCAAUAAAGCCGACCAACGAACCAAGUUACCCAAGGGAUAACAGCGCAAUCCUCUCCCAGAGCCCAUAUCGACGAGGGGGUUUACGACCUCGAUGU